rnacentral:rRNA from 1 species
UACGGGGGGGGGCAAGCGUUGUUCGGAAUUACUGGGCGUAAAGGGCUCGUAGGCGGCCAACUAAGUCCGACGUGAAAUCCCACGGCUCAACCGUGGAAGUGCAUUCGAAACUGCAGGGCUAGAGUCCUGGAGAGGAAGGUGGAAUGCUUGGUGUAGAGGUGAAAUUCGUAGAUAUCAAGCGGAACACCGGUGGCGAAGGCGGCCUUCUGGACAGUGACUGACGCUGAGA